UACGUAGGGUGCAAGCGUUGUCCGGAAUUAUUGGGCGUAAAGAGCUCGUAGGCGGUCUGUCGCGUCUGCUGUGAAAACUCAGGGCUUAACCCUGAGCUUGCAGUGGGUACGGGCAGACUAGAGUGCGGUAAGGGGAGACUGGAAUUCCUGGUGUAGCGGUGAAAUGCGCAGAUAUCAGGGAGGAACACCGGUGGGCCGAAAGGCGGGUCUCUGGGCCGUAACUGACGC
rnacentral:rRNA from 1 species